GACGAACGCUGACAGAAUGCUUAACACAUGCAAGUCAACUCUGGCGGCUGCGCGAGUAACGCGUAAAGAACUUGCUUCACGGAUGGGGACAACCUUUGGGAACGAAUGCUCAUACCUGAUACUGUGAGAGAGCUUUGCGUCCCAUUAGCUAGUUGGAGAGGUAACGGCUCACCAAGGCGCUGAUGGGUAGCCGGCCUGAGAGGGUGUGCGCCCACUAGGGGACUGAGAGACGGCGCUGAGUCGUACGGGAGGCAGCAGGGGGGAAUAUUGUACAAGGGUCCAAAUUCUGAUCCAGGGAAUCUGUGUUGACGAGGAAGUUGGCGGAAUGGAAAGUGCUUUGAGUUAUGAAGCGGUACCAACAGAAGAAGUGACGGCUAAAGACGGGGCAGCAGGCGCGGGAAUUC
rnacentral:rRNA from 1 species